rnacentral:rRNA from 1 species
GGGUUGUGAGGUUAAGCGACUAAGCGUACACGGUGGAUGCCCUGGCAGUCAGAGGCGAUGAAGGGCGUGCUAAUCUGCGAUAAGCGCCGGUAAGGUGAUAUGAACCGUUAUAACCGGCGAUACCCGAAUGGGGAAACCCAGUGUGACUCGUCACACUAUCAUUAACUGAAUCCAUAGGUUAAUGAGGCGAACCGGGGGAACUGAAACAUCUAAGUACCCCGAGGAAAAGAAAUCAACCGAGAUUCCCCCAGUAGCGGCGAGCGAACGGGGAGGAGCCCAGAGCCUGAAUCAGCAUGUGUGUUAGUGGAAGCGUCUGGAAAGGCGCGCGAUACAGGGUGACAGCCCCGUACACAAAAGCGCAUGUGCUGUGAGCUCGAUGAGUAGGGCGGGACACGUGGUAUCCUGUCUGAAUAUGGGGGGACCAUCCUCCAAGGCUAAAUACUCCUGACUGACCGAUAGUGAACCAGUACCGUGAGGGAAAGGCGAAAAGAACCCCGGCGAGGGGAGUGAAAAAGAACCUGAAACCGUGUACGUACAAGCAGUGGGAGCCCCACCACUAAGCCAGUGGUGAACUCCACAUACGCAUCCUUUGCUGAGGAUACGGUUAACGGAGCGAAAGCGACGUUCAACCUCAAAAGAAGCAGAGGGGGCUUAGUGGUGGGGUGACUGCGUACCUUUUGUAUAAUGGGUCAGCGACUUAUAUUCUGUAGCAAGGUUAACCGAAUAGGGGAGCCGGAGGGAAACCGAGUCUUAAUUGGGCGUUAAGUU